UUCAUUGUGUGGUAACCAUUUUAUAAAAGCAAUAAGGUACUCGAGGCAAGUGCUGUGUGUAUCGUGAAGAGGUUGCAGAUACGACGCGACAUGCACCGCCCUUCAGCUAUUCACGAUACAGUACAGCCUCUCAUAACUUAUUGCUUACAUAAAAUUGACAGAAUUUGAAAGCUGACUAGCUGAGAUUUUGUUCCAGCGGGCACCUUGACGUCAAUUUGACAUCAACAAAUAGUCAAGAUUUUGACCACCAUGUAUAACAUGCAUGAAUAUGAAUAUUUUCAUUAUAUUUUGUAAUUAUUACCUUGUGGUUGUAAAGAGGCCAAACAAAGGUAUCAAUCUGACAUGUUUUUUCUUGUCCCUACAUCUCAGGUCAAUAUCAUUGACAUUAAAUCGAUGUUGAUUUGAUGUCAGGAAUUAAAACGUCAAUUUGAUGUGAAAUGUAUAUCAAAAUGAUGUCUGAAAAAGUAUAUUUAUUACUCACUGUAAAUCAAUGCGACUAAUUUUCAACAUCUAAAAGACCGAUCUUGAAAGUUGUAGGUCUAUGUAUUUUGCAUUUUUAUUUUAUUUAAAUCCUAGCUAGUUUAAUUCAGUUCUUGAUUAAAAUGACAGCAGACACUAUAAUUGCAUAUACUAUAAAAGGUAAAUUUAAUCUGACAUUGAAGCUGAUUUUUAAAAUGAUCAUCAUCGACUACAAAUUGACUACAAAAAGACGUCACAUCCUGGUCAUAUCGCGCGGAAAAGUAGAAGAUUUGCAUAACCGCCCUCACUCACACGUCUGCUCACUGCCAGAGAGAUCGUCGAUUUCAAUUUUAAAAAAUACUCCUCUUUCAACUCUUGCGUAACUUAACGUUACCAGCCCCAGAUCUGUCACUGAUUUGAAUAAGAGAAUAUGAUGUCUUGCUCUCUUUGGUCUGACAUUCAGAGUUCCAAAAACGACUCCGCUUCAACAGCUUAACAGACAGCUAACCAGCGAGGAAAAACGAAAACUCAUGACAGCUCCGAUGUCAAAUUGGUGCAGCUACCCUGUGGGAAAAUGUCAACAUUGUGAUGAAAAGAGUGCUCACAAAUAGCCUCAUGUCUAUACUGAACAUGGAUGGGACUGGUGACAAGCUGCCUUUCAGAAGAAUUGAACUUUAUAAGGUCGCAAUAGGUGCCAUCUAGAAGUAACAACCCGGCAUCACAGAAGCUUCCAUUGGUAGCCUUACGGCCAACCAUUUGCUCGCUCCACCGGACAGAAGAGGGGGCACUGGGCGCCGGAAGGCAUUUGAGAGCCCUUGAGUGAACCCAUAGCCCCCCCCACUGCAUUACACUGCUCAAAAAAAUAAAAUAAACAUAUCAGAUCUCAAAGUAUGUGUAUGUUGUCAGUCAUUGUACAUUUAGGUUGGAAUUGAGUGAUGCUUAGCAUUGAAAUGAUAUCAAAAUAUGUCAAUAAUUUUAUGUAAUUUUGACAUCAAUGUUUGAUGUCACAUUUAUGUUGAAUUGAUAUCAAAGCUUGAUAUUGUAUGAUAUCAAAAUAGCAUUAAAAUGACGUCAACAUGAUGACAUCUUGACGUCAAAUAAAUGUUGAAUUGGCAUCAAAUGCAUACAAAGCAUGAUCAAAAUAACAUCAAAAUGACAUCGGCAGAGGUCAAAAUCUUGACAUCAAAUUGACGUUGUCACUUUGACGUCAAAUUGACUUUCAUUUUUGACCUAUUUUGUGACGUAAUUUUGACAUCAAUGUUUGAUGUCA